rnacentral:misc_RNA from 1 species
GGCAUACCCAAAUAGUGGUCCAGGUCUAACGAAUCCACGCACCAUCCCUAACUCACCACAAAUAUCAUUCCUCUCUUGCAGAGGACUAUUGAUCAAGAAAAAAACUUGAGUUUUCCCCAAACUCACUUGCUAACCUGAGCAAUUAUAGAACUCUUUCAGGACGCAAUUAUAUAAUUCGCUUACUCUUUGAUGCUUUUACAAAGAGUUAUAAGUCUUUUGUGAAAAACAAAUGAGUAAGCAAAGGACCUCCCUUAUGCAAUCACUCGGCUUCCAAUGUCCCUUCUAAACUUCUUC